AGAAGUUGUGAGGUGAAAACCAAACGAGUAAAAUGUUCACCUUCCUCGUCGUCCUCCUCCUCAUCAAUGCCAUGGCUGUUAUGACGCAGCCAGCUGAUGGUGCCAGAGGUCCUCCUUAUACCGACGAUGUAAAACUUAUGGAACGGUCGAUCGAGUCAAAGAUUCCUCCGUUUCAGCUGAUGUCAGGCCACCUAUUUCAGGGAGGGUGGGGAGUGCCAGGAGUGCCAGGAGCGCCAGGAAGGCUCAAUUAAUCCAAUCUGGAACAGACGUCCGGUCACAUCGCUGACUCUUGAUGUUCAACAGAGAAUAAACACAACAUAGA